CGUAGGAUCCAAGCGUUGUCCGGAUUUACUGGGUGUAAAGGGUGCGCAGGCGGGCUGGUUAGUCUGUGGUGAAAUCUCAUCGCUCAACGGUGAAACUGCCUUAGAUACUGCCAGUCUUGAAUAAGCGAGAGAUCCGUGGAGUUCCGAGUGUAGCAGUGAAAUGUGUAGAUAUUCGGAAGAACACCAGCGGCGAAGGCAGCGGGUUGGCGCUUUAUUGACGCUCAGGCACGAAAGCAUGGGGAUCAAACAGGAUUAGAUACCCUGGUAGUCCAUGCCCUAAACGAUGAUCACUUGAUGUCGGCCGCAAGGUCGGUGUCGGAGCUAACGCGUUAAGUGAUCCACCUGGGGAGUACGCUCGCAAGGGUG
rnacentral:rRNA from 1 species